rnacentral:rRNA from 1 species
UAGGGAAUCUUCGGCAAUGGACGAAAGUCUGACCGAGCAACGCCGCGUGAGUGAAGAAGGUUUUCGGAUCGUAAAACUCUGUUGUUAGAGAAGAACAAGGACGUUAGUAACUGAACGUCCCCUGACGGUAUCUAACCAGAAAGCCACGGCUAACUACGUGCCAGCAGCCGCGGUAAUACGUAGGUGGCAAGAGUUGUCCGGAUUUAUUGGGCGUAAAGCGAGCGCAGGCGGUUUCCUAAGUCUGAUGUGAAAGCCCCCGGCUCAACCGGGGAGGGUCAUUGGAAACUGGGAGACUUGAGUGCAGAAGAGGAGAGUGGAAUUCCAUGUGUAGCGGUGAAAUGCGUAGAUAUAUGGAGGAACACCAGUGGCGAAGGCGGCUCUCUGGUCUGUAACUGACGCUGAGGCUCGAAAGCGUGGGGAGCAAACA